rnacentral:tRNA from 1 species
AACCUAUUAGCUCAAUUGGUAGAGCAUUAUGCAAAUGUGUAAAAAUGUUGGUUCGAAUCCUACGUGGUUG